rnacentral:rRNA from 1 species
UGGCUGUCGUCAGCUCGUGUCGUGAGAUGUUGGGUUAAGUCCCGCAACGAGCGCAACCCUUGUUCACUGUUGCCAGCACGUUAUGGUGGGGACUCAGUGGAGACCGCCGGGGUCAACUCGGAGGAAGGUGGGGAUGACGUCAAGUCAUCAUGCCCCUUAUGUCCAGGGCUUCACGCAUGCUACAAUGGCUGGUACAGAGAGUGGCGAGCCUGUGAGGGUGAGCGAAUCUCGGAAAGCCGGUCUCAGUUCGGAUUGGGGUCUGCAACUCGACCUCAUGAAGUCGGAGUCGCUAGUAAUCGCAGAUCAGCAACGCUGCGGUGAAUACGUUCCCGGGGCUUGUACACACCGCCCGU